rnacentral:rRNA from 1 species
GAUGAACGCUGGCGGCGUGCCUAAUACAUGCAAGUCGAGCGAACAGACGAGGAGCUUGCUCCUCUGUCGUUAGCGGCGGACGGGUGAGUAACACGUGGAUAGCCUACCUAUAAGACUGGGAUAACUUCGGGAAACCGGAGCUAAUACCGGAUAAUAUAUUGAACCGCAUGGUUCAAUAGUGAAAGACGGUUUUGCUGUCACUUAUAGAUGGAUCCGCGCCGCAUUAGCUAGUUGGUAAGGUAACGGCUUACCAAGGCAACGAUGCGUAGCCGACCUGAGAGGGUGAUCGGCCACACUGGAACUGAGACACGGUCCAGACUCCUACGGGAGGCAGCAGUAGGGAAUCUUCCGCAAUGGGCGAAAGCUUGACGGAGCAACGCCGCGUGAGUGAUGAAGGUCUUCGGAUCGUAAAACUCUGUUAUUAGGGAAGAACAAAUGUGUAAGUAACUAUGCACGUCUUGACGGUACCUAAUCAGAAAGCCACGGCUAACUACGUG